rnacentral:rRNA from 1 species
GACGAACGCUGGCGGCGUGCUUAACACAUGCAAGUCGAACGGUGAAAGCGGAGCUUGCUCCGCUGGAUCAGUGGCGAACGGGUGAGUAACACGUGGGCAACCUGCCCCUCACUUCGGGAUAACUCCGGGAAACCGGGGCUAAUACCGGAUAUGACCUCCUUGGGCAUCCUUGGAGGUGGAAAGUUUUUCGGUGAGGGAUGGGCCCGCGGCCUAUCAGCUUGUUGGUGAGGUAGUGGCUCACCAAGGCGACGACGGGUAGCCGGCCUGAGAGGGCGACCGGCCACACUGGGACUGAGACACGGCCCAGACUCCUACGGGAGGCAACAGUGGGGAAUAUUGCGCAAUGGGCGAAAGCUGACGCAGCAACGCCGCGUGCGGGAUGACGGCCUUCGGGUUGUAAACCGCUUUCAGCAGGGAAGAAGCCGCAAGGUGACGGUACCUGCAGAAGAAGCACCGGCUAACUACGUGCCAGCCGCCGCGGUAA